AGAGUUUGAUCCUGGCUCAGAGCGAACGCUGGCGGCGUGCUUAACACAUGCAAGUCGAACGAGUGUAGCAAUACAUUCGUGGCGAACGGGUGCGUAACACGUGGAUAACCUUCCUUGAAGUGGGGAAUAACCCAGUGAAAAUUGGGAUAAUACCGCAUAACAUGACGAUGCCACAUGGUGUUGUCUUCAAAGGCGCAAGUCGCUACAAGAGGGAUCCGCGGCCGAUUAGCUUGUUGGCGAGGUAAUGGCUCACCAAGGCAAUGAUCGGUAGCCGGACUGAGAGGUUGGCCGGCCACACUGGAACUGAGACACGGUCCAGACUCCUACGGGAGGCAGCAGUGGGGAAUCUUGCACAAUGGGCGAAAGCCUGAUGCAGCAACGCCGCGUGGGGGAUGAAGCUUCUCGGAGUGUAAACCCCUUUCGACCCGGACGAAUGCCCGCAAGGGCUUGACGGUACGGGUAUAAGAAGCCCCGGCUAACUACGUGCCAGCAGCCGCGGUAAGACGUAGGGGGCCAGCGUUGCUCGGAAUUACUGGGCGUAAAGGGUCUGUAGGCGGUGCGGUAAGUUGGGAGUGAAAUCUCUGGGCUUAACUCAGAGGCUGCUUCCAAAACUACCGUGCUAGAGUGCGAGAGAGGCAAGUGGAAUUGCGGGUGUAGCGGUGAAAUGCGUAGAUAUCCGCAGGAACAUCCGAGGCGAAAGCGGCUUGCUGGAUCGCAACUGACGCUGAGAGACGAAAGCUAGGGGAGCAAACAGGAUUAGAUACCCUGGUAGUCCUAGCCCUAAACCAUCACGACUUGGGGUUUGUCCUGUACAGGGCAAGUCCCGGAGCUAACGCGUUAAGUCGUGCGCCUGGGGAGUACGGUCGCAAGACUGAAACUCAAAGGAAUUGACGGGGCCCGCACAAGCGGUGGAACAUGUGGUUCAAUUCGACGCAACGCGAAGAACCUUACCUGGGCUU
rnacentral:rRNA from 1 species